GAUGAACGCUGGCGGCGUGCCUAAUACAUGCAAGUAGAACGCUGAAGGAAGGAGCUUGCUCUUUCCGGAUGAGUUGCGAACGGGUGAGUAACGCGUAGGUAACCUGCCUGGUAGCGGGGGAUAACUAUUGGAAACGAUAGCUAAUACCACAUAACAGUAGAUGUUGCAUGAUAUCUACUUAAAAGGUGCAAUUGCACCACUACCAGAUGGACCUGCGUUGUAUUAGCUAGGUGGUGAGGUAACGGCUCAACAAAGCGACGAUACAUAGCCGAACCGAGAGGGGGGUCCGCCACACCGGGACCGGGACACCGCCCAGACCCCUACGGGGAGCAGCAGGGGGGAAACUUCGGCAAUGGACGGAAGUCUGACCGGGCAACGCCGCGUGAGUGGAGAAGGUUUUCGGAUCGUAAAGCUCUGUUGUAAGGGAAGAACGAGUGUGGGAGUGGAAAGUUCACACUGUGACGGUAUCUUACCAGAAAGGGACGGCUAACUACGUG
rnacentral:rRNA from 1 species